CAUAAAAGAUAGUGAACAAAGAAGCAACAGGAAGGAAGGGGCAAGCUCAAAGACUGUGAUGUGUGGAAAAAUCUCCUCAUUGACUUGGUAUUGAAGAAGCAUCGAAGGCUGGAAUUUUCUUAUAUAGGUAAAGGCAGAGGCCGCAGAGGAAGGAGAAGGAGAAGAAGACAUUAAACUUCAAAGGCAAAAGCUGUUGCCCUGUUCAGUCUCUGCUUUACAACACUGAAAUUCAUCUCGUCCAGUGACCUCUUAGACGACACCCUUCUUCUAACAAGAUGCCAGCAACUUACUUGAGAGUGAACAGUGUCCAUCUGUCAAUAAAGUGAAAUACCACCACUAUCGCCA
rnacentral:lncRNA from 1 species